GACCCCAAUCCAGGGCCUGCGAUCCUCAGGCAUCCCUCAAGCCUCUGAUGGGACCCACUAGGACCAAGAAAAGACCCAGGCAUCACCCCUCUGUGUCCUGAAUUCUGGUACACCCCAGGAAGAAGCAGUCAGUCCUGAGCCACCUGUCGCUGUCAUGGAGACCUGUCGCCUCCCACUGUUGUUGUGGCUGCGCCUGCCCCAGCCACCAACGCGGGAAAACGGCGCAGACUACAACAUCCGGCGUGCUCCGCGGGCCUGGCUCGUUUAGCAAAGAAAGCCAGGAGCCUCAUGGGAUUCGUAUUACAAGCCGCGGGGCCCCAUCAGUGAGAGCCCUGCAAAGUAGGGACCUCUGGAGGUCCGAACACCAAGUUUUUCCUUCCAAAAGAAACAUGCAUAUGAGAGACUCGGGUAGAUUUACUCAAUGGAAGUCUUGGAUCUUUCCCUGGAGGCCAGAACUCCGCUAUCCCGUGGCGCGCAAGCAUCUAGCCCCGGGGGCCUCAAUCAGAGAAUUGCGCCUGCGCGGCCCCGCCCCCUCCCUGGACGCGAGAGCGUGCCAGCCCCACCCGGGCACCGCGGCUUGUGUUCCCGCGGUCGAACACCGCUACGUAGGUCCGUAAGAAGACGUCUCCGAGGAUCCAGAGGGGUCCUGCAGGCGGAGGCACAUCCAAGGCCUGGAAGCCGGACAAGCAGAGGCGGAAGCCACCUUGGGAAAUCUGCAAAACGCCAAGAUAGGGCCACAGGGUACCCGUUACGGGUUCCGGCUGCUGGCCCCGCCUUGGUCCUCUCCCAGCUUCGUCCUCUCAAGCCCAGCGCUCGCUGCGUCUCUCUGACGUCACCGUGACAGUCACUCACCUGGAUGACGUAGUCCUGGGCCGUCAGGUUAAACCAGACCCCUCCAAGGAGGAAGGAGAUUGGGGGCAGCGUUGGGAUUUUCGAGCACUGAAUGAAGUGCUGGAGAAAAGAGGAACGAAUUAAGAUGGGCAAUUCGUGCUCUGCUCAAAUCCCUCCCCUGGCUCCCUAGUGCCAUUGGCAGUGUCUUUUGUACGCAGCUAAAUAUCCAGGGCCUGGUGUGCACAGGCUGGUUAACUACGCUUUCCUCACCCAGGCCUACAUAAUCUGCUUUCUCCCCCGUCACUCGGGCAAUCGCAGGGGGUGUUUUUGCUUCCUCCAUGCUGCAGCCCAUCCCUCAGCGGUCCAGGCCCAUCUGUGCUGGGUACUUCCUUGGCUACCUGCUUCCCACUGCCAGCAGUCAGACUCCUGUCUGCCUCCCCAGCCCACGUCCGCCAGAGAAUGGGUUCUUACCUCACCAGCCAGCCAGGGGAGGCCCCCGAUGGCCCUGUGCAGAGCCCGGAUCUCCUCAGAGGGUCCUGUGAUGAGGGAUGUUCCUGUGUCCACGAUGGCAGCACAGCCUUGGGCACAGAGAGUCAGCCCCGUGCCCACCAUCACUCUGUGUGUGUGGGCAUAGUCAUUAGAGGCUGGGCCCUAGAGCUCCAGAGCCCCGGACCCAGCCUCUGACCUGAGAGGCUGCCCUUCUCACCGGUCCAUGUGGAUCUGCCAGUAGGCAGGGAUGGUGACCGGCACGAAGGUGAGCGGUGGGAUGUAGUGAGCCGGGUCCGAGCCCCCCAGGACCAGUUCGCCUCCAUGAGUUCCUUCAAAGUCCCUGCAGAGAGGCCGGGGAUUUGGCUCAGUGGUGUAAGCACCUGCCCGAUGAGCGUGAGGUCAUGAGUUCGAUCCCCCCCCCAAAAAAAAAGGCCCUACAGAGGCAGAGUGCUGUACGUGACCUUGUGUCAGCUGCGUGUUAUCUCAGUUCUAGAUGGGAUGGUGGGAUGUGGGGCUGAGAGCAAGGUAAAAGAGAAACCUCCCCCCCCCCCAGCCCUUUUAUUAAUUUAUUUUAUAUUUGGAAAAGGGUCUCACUGCGAAGUUCAGGCUGGCCUUGAACUCACUUUGUAGCCAAGGUUGGUCUUGAAUUUGCAACAAUCCUUCUACCUCAGACUCCCGAGUGCUGGGAUUACAGAUAUGUGCCACCGAGCUCAGCUUUAUUAUCAUAUUUUGAGACUGGGUCUCAGGAAGUUUUCCAAACUGGCCUUGACCUAACGAUCUGGAAGUACAGGCCUGUGCACCUUUUAAUAGACAGCCCUCCUAUUCCUCCAGGAAGCCCCAUCUCCGGAGGAGGUGGGAGUCAGGAUGACUGAGUGGGCACAGGAAUUUCUGACAGGGCGAUGGGCCCUCUUGGAUGAGUGAGAUUUUCUGAGCAUAAGGUGAACUUCCUGAAAGGCAGGCAACUCUCUGGGCUACAGUGGGCAAUUUGGGACUUCUGAUGAGUGCUCUUGAGUGGAAUUUAAGCUUGCUUUAGGGUAAAGAGAGGGUUCCCAAGUUGAGUAGUUAGUUGGGUGAGGUGUGGAAUUUCCUGUUUGGUUUUGAAAUAAGGAGCAUUUUGAAUUGAGGGUAAGUUUUCUUAGUGUGCCUUUAAGUUGUCACUUAAGUUGGAGGGCUUCUUAGGGUUCAGGUGCUCUCAUAUUGGGCAAGUGUUUUCCUGAAUGGAGAGCGAAACUUCCUCUUUGGGGGAUGACUUCCCAAAACGACAGUGGCGCUUGCUGCCCUGGAUCUCCUGAAGGGGGUCAGGAGUCCCCCAGGGGGCCAGGACUCAGAUAAAGAGAGCUCCCCCCCAGUACCUGUUGAGAUAAAAGGAGAAGACGGGCUUAUCCAGCAGCCCCUGCUCCACCAUGACAUCCAGCGGGGUUGGAACACCAUCCACGGCCAGAGCGGGAAAGCCAAGGCCAAAUAUCCCAUCGAAGGAGGCAAAAGCAAAGACCAGACUGGGCUCCCACAGAGCCUCCCCAAAAGUCACGGAUACGUUGUUGAUUCCCCCGAUCUAGGAGUAGAUUGAGAUGGGAAGACAUCACCCAGACAUCUCUGAGACUGUUGCUGAUCAAGGCAUAAAUCCUAGACCUGAAGACCUCUGGAAAGGUCGCAAAGUUUGAGAAGCCCCGCCCCAUUUGUCCGAGAGGCCACGCCCACUCCUCCGGGAAAGCCCCGCCCCCUUUGCCCCAGACCUCUCCAAGCUCUUCCCUAAACCACCAGGGCUGGACUCCCGGAGUCCUUGUAAUCUGAGCCUUCCUGAAGGCCACGCACGCACAGUCAGCUUGUCCUGGCUCAGAAUCCCGCUCAGCCUCCCCGUUCCAUAUUGAAUGGCGAACUUGGUCCCAUUGGGGCAGAAGGAGCUGGAGGCUUUGGGAUCAUAACGGUGAUGGAACCCUAGUUGAGAAGAACAGAGAGUUGUCGCAGGGAGACGGGAGUCCCUCCACCCACCCCGUGCCUUCUCAAAACACCCUGGGGAGCCGAGGCCCACCCCCUGCACCCCCAUCUCGGCUCACAGCAGGGCAAACUGAAGAAGCGACAGCUCUUGGACGGGACCCAGAGGUUGGAGGAGCCAGUGUCAAAGACGACGGAGAAGUUUUGUGGGGGCGUUCCCAGCCCAAUUUCCCCAAAAUACUGCACCUGGUAGCGAAGGAGGAGCUGAGAUCAAGAGUUUGCUUGCAUGCAUGAGGGUGGGGGGCUGCGGGGAGGCGACUCACGUUCAGGAACUUGGAGAGAGGCACAAAGAAGGGACUGUCCCCGUGGGGUGGGGCCCCCAGCCUAGAAGGCUCCAACAGCUCUGCCCAGGCCCGCAUGGGCCUCAGGAUGCCCUGUGGCAGGUGGACUCGGCGGAGUGGGACCCUAAGGGACAGGGGUGCCCAUGGUUAGAAAGCCACCCUUCCUGGGUACCUGCUCUAACAGACAGUCCCAACAAGGACACGGGACAAAAGAGAUGUCUCUGAGCCUGUGCAGUGCAUCGAUGACCAAAACCUCUACUGUAACGAUCUCCCAGGAACUGCUACCUAACGCACCUGAUAACAAAUAAUCCGAGGCUUUAGGAGAGCAAAGCAUCUAGGAAAGAUCAUCCCAAAGACCUGCCAAUAUCCACAUGCCUUAAAAUAAGCCGUCCCUCAAGGAAUGGGUGUUCUCAGAAGGUUCCAGGCACCUGACCCUAAAAUUUAACCCUUGCAAAAUGUCAGCCCCUAAACUGGGUUGUGGUGCACCCAAUCCCAGCACUCGGGAGGCUGAGGCAGGAGGACUGUUGUGAGUCUGAGACCAGUCUGGGCUACAAAGUGAACUCAAGGCCAGCCUGAACUGCAGAGUGCAACCCUGUCUCAGAAAGAUUAAAAAAAAAAAAAAUCA